ACUUAAAUAAUUUAAAUUUAAAAUAUUAGUUUGUGGUACUAAAAAUAUGAAUAAUCAUUUUAAGUU
rnacentral:tRNA from 1 species